rnacentral:rRNA from 1 species
CAGUCGCCGCGGGAAUACGUAGGUCCCGAGCGUUGUCCGGAUUUAUUGGGCGUAAAGCGAGCGCAGGCGGUUUGAUAAGUCUGAAGUUAAAGGCUGUGGCUUAACCAUAGUACGCUUUGGAAACUGUUUAACUUGAGUGCAAGAGGGGAGAGUGGAAUUCCAUGUGUAGCGGUGAAAUGCGUAGAUAUAUGGAGGAACACCGGUGGCGAAAGCGGCUCUCUGGCUUGUAACUGACGCUGAGGCUCGAAAGCGUGGGGAGCAAACAGGAUUAGAUACCCCUGUAGUCCCUGUCUCUUAUACA